GACGAACGCUGGCGGCGCGCCUAACACAUGCAAGUCGAACGAGCGAGCGAGAGCUUGCUUUCUUGAGCGAGUGGCGAACGGGUGAGUAACGCGUGAGGAACCUGCCUCAAAGAGGGGGACAACAGUUGGAAACGACUGCUAAUACCGCAUAAGCCCACGACCCGGCAUCGGGUUGAGGGAAAAGGAGCAAUCCGCUUUGUGAUGGCCUCGCGUCCGAUUAGCUAGGUGGUGAGGUAACGGCCCACCAAGGCGACGAUCGGUAGCCGGACUGAGAGGCUGAACGGCCACAUUGGGACUGAGACACGGCCCAGACUCCGACGGGAGGCAGCAGUGGGGAAUAUUGCACAAUGGGGGAAACCCUGAUGCAGCGACGCCGCGUGGAGGAAGAAGGUCUUCGGAUUGUAAACUCCUGUUGUUGAGGAAGAUAAUGACGGUACUCAACAAGGAAGUGACGGCUAACUACGUG
rnacentral:rRNA from 1 species